rnacentral:tRNA from 1 species
GCACCCGACGUCAACUUCCAGAGCAACGGCCUCCUAAGCCGUGGGUUGCGGGUUCGAGUCCCGUCGGGCGUACCA